GAGGGUUUUAAGAAUAAAGAGCCCUAAACUGAUCAUUGAAUUGCUAUCAUAAGGGCUACACUAUGCCUAGACUUUAUUCUUACAGAAACAAUAACGCUCCUGAUUUCUAAAUUUGUGAUGGGAGGCCAUUUUUUUUUAAAUUAAAGCACUUG